UCAGGCCAAACCGGUAUGGAGGAGAGAAAAGAAAAAAAAAAUUAGCCAGCCGCACGACACUGCCUCCUCGAUCCCAUCUCCACCUCCUGCGCUGCCCGUCCCCGCCGCCGCCGCCUCCUGCCCCGCCCCGCGCUCCCUGCCGCCGCCACCUCCUGCCCCGCCCCGCCGUGCGCUGUGCGGCUGCUCGCCGCGCUCUUGAAGGACCUCGAGGCCUGCUGCCCCGCCCGGCGCAACCACCUUGCUCGAGGUUGGGCGAGCGCGGAAUCAGAGUUCGGGACGGCAGCGGACGGCGCUCCUCUCGGUCGUCCUCUUCCCGACGGCAGGCGAGGCAGGAGGACGCGGAUCCGGCUGCUCCGGCGUGGAUCCGAAGGCGGGGCGGAGGGAUCGAGGAGGGGGAGCACGAGGCCAAUGGAGAGGUGGCCAGGCGGGGUGCUGCGGUUGUCCAUGGCGAAAACAACGUCGCUUCCCCGUGCCCUCGCACCGGUCCUCCGCCACCCCCUCGCCUCCCUCCGCUCUAGGCCCGUCUCGAGCCGCCAGAAGCAACUACUGGUCUCUAGCCACCGCCCUCGCCUCACUCCUCCCCGGUCGUCGUUGCUGCCAAGGAAGUAGCUGGCGGAAUGCGGCGAGCCCCGAUCUCCUCCACAACAGCCGAUGCCUCUUCCUGUAGCGAGCUCACCCUGUACGCGCCUUCUGCAGGAGCAGGACGAGGCUCCCAAACGCAGCGAGCUGCUUGCGUAGGUCAGGUUGCUCCCUCCUGCUUCUCUGGCCCACCCAUUCCUAGCAGUUUUAUUAAAAAAAUACUGAUACGAAAAUGUGUGUAGGCAGAUCAUUGUAGCAUAUAAGUGGAUUAGGCAAUUGUUUUCCCCUGUGUUUGAUAAGUUAGUAGCUCCAGUUAUUUUUUAUGGAUGUUAUUUACUUUUGGAUACAUUCCCAUCUGAACAAUCGAAGCUUGGGUAAUGCUGGAUGUUAUUAUAGUCAUGCCAUCCUAGUGUAAUUUACUAUCUACUUGCAUGGAUCCCUACACAUAAUGUAUGUAAUUUCUAACCAGUUCCAGAUACUGUGUUGACUUUCUUUUCUAAUGAUUGCCCCUAAGCGCUGGUGGUUGGAGAUAAAGUUUAGCCAAGAUGUUAUUCUGAUGCUUCUUCAAUGAAUUUUCCUGAUGGAAUCCGGGAUGUUCUUCACCUUUAUCAUGUAACGCCCCAGAUUUGUGGGAUGUGGGCAGCUGAACAUAGGGUUAUCCGUGAAAUACAAUCUGUAAAAUAAAGUAAUACAAUCUGGAAGAUAGAUACAGGGAUGAACACUCAGCAAAGGAUUGUGCCCCCAUGCCUAGGGCCUGGCUACGCCACUGCCUGUAGCUGUUAUUAAACAAGAUCCCAACUGAAUGUAAAACACAAUGCUGCCUACACGCUAUGUAAGGCUAAAUGUAUAUUGCACCUAUAAUUUAUAACUACAGGUUCUCCAAGAUAGACAAAGGCUUCCUUCAUACUUGAAGCAAAGCUUUUUUUAUAUCUUCAUGUCAUAUGAGUUGUAGUUUUUCGGAUCAUCUACACACUUCAGAGAAGUUACUUUAGGUUGCUAAAAGCAAGAUAAAGUAAUACAUGAUGUGCAUGUUUGACACAAUUAUCCCCGAUUCUGAAUUUAGCUAUUUGUAUUUUUCAUUUUAGUGGAACUUCGGUACACAUGACCACAGUAACAUUAUUUUCACAAUGUCACUAGAGACGAGGGCAACCUUAUUUGUGACAAUUAUUAGAGUUGGAUAGAAGAAGUGGUGUGUAGUGGCAUCUAACGAAUUGUGAAAUGAGCGACAUCUAACAAUUCUCACUAAAUUUGAGUACUCGCCUUUUUUGUCCCGUUGCAACGCACGGGCAAUUUACCUUUCUGUUCUUAUGAAAUGAAGAUUUGGAAAGGAGGAACAGGGUACUGAACUUUUAUAUAUCUGCAUAAUCUACAUCCGAAGUUAAGCAGUACACAAAUUACUAAAUGGAGGAACAUGGCAAUUUUAAGCUUACUACAUGCAGAAUUAUGUCGCUGCAGCUCUUUUAGUACUCAUGUGUAGAUUUUCCUACAGCAAUAUUACUUGCAUUCAGUUUCGUGCCGUCAUGGAAAUUCAUAUGUGCGUUCUGCAGCAUGUUCAGAAUAAUACUUUGCAAGGGACAACAGCCCGACGUCGAGCAGUAGCAGCAACAUGUUCUGCAGCUUCGAUGACCCUGAUGAAUCUGCUAUAGUGCUCAACUCCUGCUAGGAGGGCAUGGAGGAGUUUCCCCUUGAACUCCACGACCUGAUUCUCAGAUCAUUGUUCUACUGACGCUCACUUCACCUGAACGGCUGGAGCAGAUGAUAGUGGAUAUACCCAGUGUAGUAUAUUGUUAUAAGGUUGUGUAUUAGCUUCCAGUGAUUUUGCUCUCACUGGUAUCUCGAUAAAGCUUGAAGUAUAUGCGGAUGUCUUGCUCAGUUCAAUUAGUAAUAGUAUUAGCUUGAAGCGCCAUCCAUACUCAGUUUCAACUAGACACCUCCAUGGAUAGCUCCCUUGCCAUUAUAUUGAAGGUUAGUGUUGUUACCUGUUGCUCAACGUUGCACUUUUAGUACUCUAGCUGCUUUGUAGGCGAAAUCGCCACCACCUGCAACCGUGCCCUCAGGCUUCCCUCAGACCGUCCUUAUCAACUGUAGUCUCUGCUCGCCCAUGUUAAGUCCCUCCUUUUAGAAAGGGCCUCCCUCGACGGUGGCCUCCCCUGGAAGCUCUUGAACCUACAAUGGAGUUGGUUCCCUGUCAGUAUGAAAUUCUUGCGUUUGGCCGUCAGACUAUUAGUUGUAACCAUGUUAUUCUGUCAAGCUUUUCCAUUGAGUUGCCGAAACAAUAUCAAAGUAGAAGAUGUUAAA